rnacentral:lncRNA from 1 species
UCCGCUCGCCCCGGGAGGGAGCCCGCGGCCAGGGCUGGACUCUCGCCCCGCCACCUCCACCGACUCUCUCCUCAGCCUCCGCGCCUGGCACCGCAGCAAGACUUGAAUGAAGUGAUCAUGUAAACUAGAGAAAGGAGAUUAAAAAUAACCUCUGGAUAUUCCUCUCAUGUGAUCUUUAUUCUGGAUGAAGCAUUAGGACAGCUAAUAGCCGUGUGUCACUUAAAAAUCCAACUUGAGAACUGUCACCAAAGAUGUCUAGGAACUUUGAAGAAACAUGAAGUAAUAUGCAUGCAAAGUAAAGUAAAAUUUCCUGAGCAAAGGACAUCAGAAUCAGUUUCAUGAAGAUGAACCUGUGGCCAGAAAAUGAAGACCUUUCCUGAAUUCAGGUGGGAAAGAAGCUGCUGGAGGCUCAGGGUUAAGAAUGUACAGAAAUACCAUUUGACCCAGAAAUCUCAUUGCUGGGUAUAUACCCAAAGGAAUAUACAUCAUUCUAUUAUAA